rnacentral:rRNA from 1 species
AUUGAACGCUGGCGGCAUGCCUUACACAUGCAAGUCGAACGGCAGCAAGGGAGCAAUCCUGGUGGCGAGUGGCGAACGGGUGAGUAAUACAUCGGAACGUGCCCAAUCGUGGGGGAUAACGCAGCGAAAGCUGUGCUAAUACCGCAUACGAUCUACGGAUGAAAGAAGGGGACCGCAAGGCCUUGCGCGAAUGGAGCGGCCGAUGGCAGAUUAGGUAGUUGGUGGGGUAAAGGCUCACCAAGCCAACGAUCUGUAGCUGGUCUGAGAGGACGACCAGCCACACUGGGACUGAGACACGGCCCAGACUCCUACGGGAGGCAGCAGUGGGGAAUUUUGGACAAAGGGCGCAAGCCUGAUCCAGCCAUGCCGCGUGCAGGAUGAAGGCCUUCGGGUUGUAAACUGCCUUUGUACGGAGCGAAACGGCCUUUUCUAAUAAAGAGGGCUAAUGACGGUACCGUAAGAAUAAGCACCGGCUAACUACGUG